GAGGGUAUAGCUCAGUGGUAGAGUGCAUGCCUAGCAUGCAUGAGGCCCUGGGUUCAAUCCCCAGUCCCUUCA
rnacentral:tRNA from 1 species